UAUAUUUGGAGAAGAAAAAGCAAAUAACUUAACCUAUAUACAUAAAAGAAAAAAGACCUCCAACUCUUCAAUGGCCAUGAAGAUGUCAAUGCUUAAGUUUACGAUCCUUGCCAUUUUCUUACUGAUCGUCCUUGAUUUGCAAGUUGGGGUGCGAGCAAGAGGGCCAAUAGUUGGUUUUGGAUGCAAAACAGUUCAAGAUUGUAUUGCAAAUAAUCCAGUAUGUUCACCAGACAUUUGCAAACCACCUAACUGGUGCCUCUGCGCAAAUGAAAGGUGCGCAUGUCAGCCAGUUUCGUUAAGUGCUACAACCCUCAUUGGAAGCUAAGGAAAAGAUACCGCCAAAACCUUUUAUUGGAUAAGUGGAAAGGAAGAUCUUAAUAAAACAAAAAUAAAGAAAAGUUUGAGAUAAUGAUACUUAAUUACAAAUUAUAAUGAAGACCAUAUGUUUGUAUCCUUGUUUUGGAAAUCAUUACAGUGAAAAUGAAAUAUUUGCAGUUAUCUUAUUA